AUGUCUUCUAAUUGGAGCUCUUUGCUUCCAUUCUAUUGAUAUAAGAUUAUAUGGCUGAUUCAUAAGAUAGCAGCAGAAUUACUUCGAUUGAUUAAGAGAUCAGGUUAGACAUUAUGGAUUUAAUAUCUAAGUUGUUUAUCUUCAGAACUUUACGCAGGAAAUUGUGAGCUCUCUUCAACAGAACAUGCAUUAGUGUAGCAAUUAGACGGUUAAACUGUAGAUGAUCACAAGUUUAAGGGAAGAUUAUGGAUAUACAAUUUGUUCUUUUUAGAAACGUACAUAUACAUAUAAAUAUGGUCCCUGCUUUGUUAUUACAUAGGCAGCACGCAAGUUGUGUAUUAAACUUGUGUAAGACAAAGCAUAUUGAGAAAAAGGACAUUACCCAUGUCCUUAGUAGCUGUUCAGUCUAGUCGUGUCUCUUAAAACAAAUCAAAUGGUCCACCUUAGAUUUUGAAUAUCAUCAUAUAACAACUGAUAUUUGUUGAUUUUAAAAGAAAACUAACAGCUUCCACUUUCCAGGAAUGUGUGAUCUGAUGUUAUGAAUUUGCUGCUUUUCCAUUAUCGCUAAUGCAGAGAUGAAGUUUGGUCCGAAAGAGAAACGGCUGGAUUGAUGCACCGCGUAGCUUAUUAUUUAAUAUAGGAGAGGAUGGGAAAUGGAAGCAGAGAUAAAAGAGAAAAAGUAAUUGCAUGGAGACGCACGUGAGAAAGAAAUGGCUUCCAUAGAAGUAGGUGUGGACGAAGGCAAUAAAGUCAAGACAGUGAAAGGGUAUCCGAAAGUGGG
rnacentral:lncRNA from 1 species